rnacentral:rRNA from 1 species
UACAGAGGGUGCGAGCGUUGUCCGGAAUCACUGGGCGUAAAGGGCGCGUAGGUGGUGGCUUAAGCGUGCGGUGAAAGCUCGGAGCUCAACUCCGAGUCGGCCGUGCGAACUGGGCUCACUGGAGCAUAGUAGAGGCAGGUGGAAUUCCAGGUGUAGCGGUGAAAUGCGUAGAUAUCUGGAGGAAUACCGGUGGCGAAGGCGGCAUUCUGGACCAUUACUGACACUGAAUCGCGAAAGCUAGGGGAGCAAACGGG